rnacentral:rRNA from 1 species
UAACACGUAAACAACCUGCCUUCAGGAUGGGGACAACAGACGGAAACGACUGCUAAUACCGAAUACGUUCCACGGGCCGCAUGACCUGUGGAAGAAAGGGUAGCCUCUACCUGUAAGCUAUCGCCUGAAGAGGGGUUUGCGUCUGAUUAGGCAGUUGGUGGGGUAACGGCCCACCAAACCAACGAUCAGUAGCCGGUCUGAGAGGAUGAACGGCCACACUGGAACUGAGACACGGUCCAG